rnacentral:rRNA from 1 species
ACUCCUACGGGAGGCAGCAGUGAGGAAUUUUCCGCAAUGGGCUAACGCCUGACGGAGCAAUGCCGCGUGGAGGAGGAAGGCCUGUGGGUCGUAAACUCCUUUUCUCAGAGAAGAAGAUCUGACGGUAUCUGAGGAAUAAGCAUCGGCUAACUCUGUGCCAGCAGCCGCGGUAAUAC